rnacentral:lncRNA from 1 species
CACAAUACACUUAAAUUCUACGCCAGAUCUUUCACAUAACAAAAAAUUAAAACAAAAAGAACUUAACUUCCACAAUACACUUAAAUUCUACGCCAGAUCUUUCACAUAACAAAAAAUUAAAAUAAAAAGAACAAGCUGAAAAAGCCCACUGCUCACUUAAUCUUUGCCGAGAGAGCCGAGAGAGGGGAAGACGGAGGAGGUCGUGAAGCUGCGUGAGAAGAAGCCUGAAAGUGAAGCUGCGUGAGAACUGACGAAAUGGAGGAAAAUGAAAGUGAAAGAGAAAAAUGAAAGUGAAAGAGAGAGGAAAGUUUUGGGGGAAAAUGAAAAAGUCAAGGACAGAGGAAAGUGAAAUCGUGGGGAAGUGAAAAAGUGAAAGAGGGAGCAAAGCAUUCCAACGCCAUUUGUUUAUUCAUUUGAUCAUUUCUUUUAUUUUUUUUAUGUUUAAAGAGUGAGAGGAAAUGAGAAGAGAAACGACAGGAAAGAUUGCCGUUUUGGUCGUCCUUCUCUCAUCCCUCUCGCUACUUAGCAUUUUCC